rnacentral:rRNA from 1 species
GAUGAACGCUAGCGGCAGGCUUAAUACAUGCAAGUCGUGGGGCAGCAGGACUGUAGCAAUACAGUUGCUGGCGACCGGCAAACGGGUGCGGAACACGUACGCAACUUACCCUGAACUGGGGGAUAGCCCGGGGAAACCCGGAUUAAUACCCCGUAAUAUAAUGGAGUGGCAUCACUUUAUUAUUAAAGCUCCGGCGGUUCGGGAUGGGCGUGCGGCUGAUUAGGUAGUUGGUUGAGGUAACGGCUCACCAAGCCUACGAUCAGUAACUGGUGUGAGAGCACGACCAGUCACACGGGCACUGAGACACGGGCCCGACUCCUACGGGAGGCAGCAGUAAGGAAUAUUGGGCAAUGGAGGCAACUCUGACCCAGCCAUGCCGCGUGGAGGAUGAAGGCCCUCUGGGUUGUAAACUUCUUUUAUAGGGGGCGAAACCUGUGUAUUCUUACGCAGUUGACGGUACCCGAGGAAUAAGCACCGGCUAACUCCGUG